GACAUACUACAGAUUGAAAAAUGGACCAACUGAGAGGAUGAUUCUCCAGGACCACUGUUACUCAACAUUUGAGUGGCAGAUAGAGCAUCCAUAUGCUUGUUCAGGAGCAAAGUGGGAGAAGGACUUGGGCCCUAUUCAAGAUGAACUGUUAAAGUAUGUACUAGACAAAAAUCGUCCGUCAGGAGAACUGAUCGUAAAGCAAGGCAAAUUUUGCCUCACCCGAGAAGACUUCU